CCUACGGGAGGCCAGCAGUUAGGGAAUUUUUCCGCAAUGGGCGAAAGCCUGACGGAGCAAUACCGCGUGAGGGAUGACGGCCUGUGGGUUGUAAACCUCUUUUCUCAAGGAAGAAGUUCUGACGGUACUUGAGGAAUAAGCAUCGGCUAACUCUGUGCCAGCAGCCGCGGUAAUACAGAGGAUGCAAGCGUUAUCCGGAAUCACUGGGCAUAAAGCGUCUGUAGGUGGUUUGGUAAGUCUGCUGUUAAAGACUGGGGCUCAACCCCAGAAAAGCAGUGGAAACUGCUAGACUUGAGUGUGGUAGAGGUAGAGGGAAUUCCUAGUGUAGCGGUGAAAUGCGUAGAUAUUAGGAAGAACACCAAUGGCGAAGGCACUCUACUGGGCCAUAACUGACACUGAGAGACGACAGCUAGGGGAGCAAAUGGGAUUAGAUACCCCAGUAGUCCUAGCCGUAAACGAUGGAUACUAGAUGUUGCACGUAUUAACCCGUGCAGUAUCGUAGCUAAGGCGUUAAGUAUCCCGCCUGGGAAGUACGCUCGCAAGAGUGAAACUCAAAGGAAUUGACGG
rnacentral:rRNA from 1 species